rnacentral:rRNA from 1 species
UGGAGAGUUUGAUCCUGGCUCAGAGUGAACGCUGGCGGCGUGCCUAACACAUGCAAGUCGAACGAUGAUGGAGAGCUUGCUCUCCUGAUUAGUGGCGUACGGGUGAGUAAUGCAUAGAUAAUGUGCCCCUUAGUUCGGGAUAGCCACUGGAAACGGUGAUUAAUACUGGAUACUCCUUCUUGUUAUAAGACAAGUCGGGAAAGUUUUUCGCUAAGGGAUCAGUCUAUGUUCCAUCAGGUAGUUGGUGAGGUAAUGGCUCACCAAGCCUAUGACGGAUAUCUGGUUUGAGAGGAUGAUCAGACACACUGGAACUGAGACACGGUCCAGACUCCUACGGGAGGCAGCAGUGAGGAAUAUUGCACAAUGGAGGAAACUCUGAUGCAGCAACGCCGCGUGGAGGAUGACGCAUUUCGGUGUGUAAACUCCUUUUAUUAGGGAAGAUAAUGACGGUACCUAAUGAAUAAGCUCCGGCUAACUCC